rnacentral:rRNA from 1 species
UACGGGGGGGGCAAGCGUUGUUCGGAAUUACUGGGCGUAAAGGGUGCGUAGGCGGCGCGGUAAGUCGGGUGCGAAAUCUCGGAGCUUAACUCCGAAACUGCAUUCGAUACUGCCGUGCUUGAGGACUGGAGAGGAGACUGGAAUUUACGGUGUAGCGGUGAAAUGCGUAGAUAUCGUAAGGAAGACCAGUGGCGAAGGCGGCACUCUGGGCCGGAACUGACGCUGAGGAGCGAAAGCGUGGGGAGCAAACAGG